rnacentral:rRNA from 1 species
CGCCGCGUGAGCGAUGAAGCCCUUCGGGGUGUAAAGCUCUUUCGGCAGGGAAGAUAAUGACGGUACCUGCAGAAGAAGCUGCGGCUAACUACGUGCCAGCAGCCGCGGUAAUACGUAGGCGGCAAGCGUUGUUCGGAAUUACUGGGCGUAAAGGGUGCGUAGGCGGUUUUCUAAGUUUGGUGUGAAAUCUCCCGGCUCAACCGGGAGGGUGCGCCGAAAACUGGGGGGCUAGAGUGUGGGAGAGGAAAGUGGAAUUCCUGGUGUAGCGGUGAAAUGCGUAGAUAUCAGGAGGAACACCUGUGGUGUAAACGGCUUUCUGGACCAUUACUGACGCUGAGGCACGAAAGCGUGGGUAGCAAACAGGAUUAGAUACCCUGGUAGUCCACGCCCUAAACGAUGCAUAUUUGGUGUGGGCCAUUCAUUUGGUCCGUGCCGGAGCUAACGCGUUAAAUAUGCC